rnacentral:rRNA from 1 species
CCUACGGGAGGCUGCAGUCGAGAAUCUUGGGCAAUGCACGAAAGUGUGACCCAGCGACGCCGCGUGAAGGAUGAAGGCCCUCUGGGUUGUAAACUUCUUUUAUGGGGAAAGAAAAGCCUUCGGGCCUUGACGGUACCCCAUGAAUAAGCCACGGCUAACUACGUGCCAGCAGCCGCGGUAAUACGUAGGUGGCAAGCGUUGUCCGGAUUUACUGGGCGUAAAGCGUAUGCAGGCGGAAUGUUAAGUAGGAAGUGAAAGGUUGGAGCUCAACUCCAACACUGCUCCCUAUACUGGCAUUCUUGAGUGGCGGAGAGGAAGAUGGAACAAGUUGUGUAGCGGUGAAAUGCGUUGAUAUAACUUGGAACACCAAUGGCGAAAGCAAUCUUCUGGACGCAAACUGACGCUGAGAUACGAAAGCCAAGGUAGCAAACAGGAUUAGA